GGGUUGUGAGGUUAAGCGAAUAAGCGUACACGGUGGAUGCCUAGGCAAUCAGAGGCGAUGAAGGACGUGCUAAUCUGCGAAAAGCGUCGGUAAGGUGAUAUGAACCGUUAUACCCGACGAUAUCCGAAUGGGGAAACCCAGUAUCCAAUGGAUACUAUCAUUAACUGAAUCCAUAGGUUAAUGAGGCGAACCGGGAGAACUGAAACAUCUCAGUACCCCGAGGAAAAGAAAUCAACCGAGAUUCCCCUAGUAGCGGCGAGCGAACGGGGAGCAGCCCAGAGUCUUAAUCAAUAGCAGUGUCAGGAGAACGGUCUGGAAAGUCCGGCAGUAAAGGGUGAUAGCCCCGUAUCUGAAGAUGCUGUUAUUGUGAACUCGACGAGUAGGGCGGGACACGUGUUAUCCUGUCUGAAUAUGGGGGGACCAUCCUCCAAGGCUAAAUACUCCUGAUUGACCGAUAGUGAACCAGUACCGUGAGGGAAAGGCGAAAAGAACCCCGGCGAGGGGAGUGAAAAAGAACCUGAAACCGUGUACGUACAAGCAGUAGGAGCCCUCUUUAUGGGGUGACUGCGUACCUUUUGUAUAAUGGGUCAGCGACUUAUAUUCUGUAGCAAGGUUAACCGUAUAGGGGAGCCGUAGGGAAACCGAGUCUUAACUGGGCGAAUGAGUUGCAGGGUAUAGACCCGAAACCCGGUGAUCUAUCCAUGGGCAGGUUGAAGGUUGGGUAACACUAACUGGAGGACCGAACCGACUAAUGUUGAAAAAUUAGCGGAUGACUUGUGGAUGGGGGUGAAAGGCCAAUCAAACCGGGAGAUAGCUGGUUCUCCCCGAAAGCUAUUUAGGUAGCGCCUCGUGAACUCAUCUUCGGGGGUAGAGCACUGUUUCGACUAGGGGGUCAUCCCGACUUACCAACUCGAUGCAAACUGCGAAUACCGAAGAAUGUUAUCACGGGAGACACACGGCGGGUGCUAACGUCCGUCGUGAAGAGGGAAACAACCCAGACCGCCAGCUAAGGUCCCAAAGUCAUGGUUAAGUGGGAAACGAAGUGGGAAGGCUCAGACAGCCAGGAUGUUGGCUUAGAAGCAGCCAUCAUUUAAAGAAAGCGUAAUAGCUCACUGGUCGAGUCGGCCCGCGCGGAAGAUGUAACGGGGCUAAACCAUGCACCGAAGCUGCGGCAGCGACACAUAGUGUUGUUGGGUAGGAGCGUUCUGUAAGCCUGCGAAGGUGUACUGUGAGGUAUGCUGGAGGUAUCAGAAGUGCGAAUGCUGACAUAAGUAACGAUAAUGCGGGUGAAAAACCCGCACGCCGGAAGACCAAGGGUUCCUGUCCAACGUUAAUCGGGGCAGGGUGAGUCGACCCCUAAGGCGAGGCUGAAAAGCGUAGUCGAUGGGAAACGGGUUAAUAUUCCCGUACUGGUGGUAACUGCGAUGGGGGAACGGAGAAGGCUAGGUUGUCCGGGCGACGGUCGUCCCGGUUCAAGCAGGUAGGCAGAGUGAUUAGGCAAAUCCGGUCACUUAAUGCUGAGAUGUGAUGACGAACCACCAAGGUGGUGAAGCAAUUGAUGCCCCGCUUCCAGGAAAAGCCUCUAAGCUUCAGGUUACCAACAAUCGUACCCCAAACCGACACAGGUGGUCAGGUAGAGAAUACUCAGGCGCUUGAGAGAACUCGGGUGAAGGAACUAGGCAAAAUGGUGCCGUAACUUCGGGAGAAGGCACGCUGGCGGUAGGUAAAGUCCCUCGCGGACGGCGCUGAAGCCAGUCGAAGAUACCAGCUGGCUGCAACUGUUUAUUAAAAACACAGCACUGUGCAAACACGAAAGUGGACGUAUACGGUGUGACGCCUGCCCGGUGCUGGAAGGUUAAUUGAUGGGGUCAGCCGUAAGGCGAAGCUCCUGAUCGAAGCCCCAGUAAACGGCGGCCGUAACUAUAACGGUCCUAAGGUAGCGAAAUUCCUUGUCGGGUAAGUUCCGACCUGCACGAAUGGCGUAAUGAUGGCCAGGCUGUCUCCACCCGAGACUCAGUGAAAUUGAACUCGCUGUGAAGAUGCAGUGUACCCGCGGCAAGACGGAAAGACCCCGUGAACCUUUACUAUAGCUUGACACUGAACAUUGAGCCUUGAUGUGUAGGAUAGGUGGGAGGCUUUGAAGUGUGGACGCCAGUCUGCAUGGAGCCAACCUUGAAAUACCACCCUUUAACGUUUGAUGUUCUAACCUAGGCCCAUAAACUGGGUCGGGGACCGUGUCUGGUGGGUAGUUUGACUGGGGCGGUCUCCUCCUAAAGAGUAACGGAGGAGCACGAAGGUUGGCUAAGCAUGGUCGGACAUCAUGCGGUUAGUGCAAAGGCAUAAGCCAGCUUGACUGCGAGAGUGACGGCUCGAGCAGGUACGAAAGUAGGUCUUAGUGAUCCGGUGGUUCUGAAUGGAAGGGCCAUCGCUCAACGGAUAAAAGGUACUCCGGGGAUAACAGGCUGAUACCGCCCAAGAGUUCAUAUCGACGGCGGUGUUUGGCACCUCGAUGUCGGCUCAUCACAUCCUGGGGCUGAAGUAGGUCCCAAGGGUAUGGCUGUUCGCCAUUUAAAGUGGUACGCGAGCUGGGUUUAGAACGUCGUGAGACAGUUCGGUCCCUAUCUGCCGUGGGCGUUGGAAGAUUGAGAGGGGUUGCUCCUAGUACGAGAGGACCGGAGUGAACGCACCACUGGUGUUCGGGUUGUCAUGCCAAUGGCAUUGCCCGGUAGCUAAGUGCGGAAGAGAUAACCGCUGAAAGCAUCUAAGCGGGAAACUUGCCUCGAGAUGAGUCUUCCCUGUCACUUUAAGUGACCUAAAGGAACGUUUAAGACUAAGACGUUGAUAGGCUGGGUGUGUAAGCGUAGCGAUACGUUGAGCUAACCAGUACUAAUGAACCGUGAGGCUUAACCUGACAACACCGAAAGUGUUUUG
rnacentral:rRNA from 1 species